rnacentral:rRNA from 1 species
AUUGAACGCUGGCGGCAGGCCUAACACAUGCAAGUCGAGCGGAUGAAGGGAGCUUGCUCCUGGAUUCAGCGGCGGACGGGUGAGUAAUGCCUAGGAAUCUGCCGGGUAGUGGGGGAUAACGUCCGGAAACGGGCGCUAAUACCGCAUACGUCCUGAGGGAGAAAGUGGGGGAUCUUCGGACCUCCCGCUAUCAGAUGAGCCUAGGUCGGAUUAGCUAGUUGGUGGGGUAAAGGCCUACCAAGGCGACGAUCCGUAACUGGUCUGAGAGGAUGAUCAGUCACACUGGAACUGAGACACGGUCCAGACUCCUACGGGAGGCAGCAGUGGGGAAUAUUGGACAAUGGGCGAAAGCCUGAUCCAGCCAUGCCGCGUGUGUGAAGAAGGUCUUCGGAUUGUAAAGCACUUUAAGUUGGGAGGAAGGGCAGUAAGUUAAUACCUUGCUGUUUUGACGUUACCAACAGAAUAAGCACCGGCUAACUUCGUG